GUGGCUUCACAGUACAUACCCUUCCCCUUUCCCUCGCCCCAAGAAGAGUGACAUAUUCUCUUACGGAAGCCUGCUUUGACAGUUACUGAGUUAGCGAUUCAGGAAAAUGUUCAUAUAAUUUCUCAUUAGUACGUAGGAUGACAAAAAAAAUGAGAAUUACUGGUCUGGAGUCUACGCCUUCCAUUAAUUCAGCUUCAAAUCAUGUUAGCUUUUUUGGAAGUUGAAUCACACUGUUGGGCAGGUAUUGAGCAUAUUGUUGACUGAAAUCUUAAGUUUUUUCUAAAGGUUUUGUUGCUAAGCCAGAUCUUUGCCCCAGAAAUUGGACUGGUCAUUUAUUGCUUUUCAUUAUAUUAUUACAGCGUGCUGAGGUCAUUUUACCUCCUAAUUCUGUCAUCCAGUUUGUUACCUAUAAGCAUAGGAACUGUGUCUAAUUUUGUUUUAUUGCUAUAUUUCUUGCAUCCAUGACAAUUUUUUAUUUACAGUGAAUUCCAUCUACAGCUUUGAUAACCACCCGUAUCUUCAUGAAAAUCACUGAAAAAAUGAGAACUAGACAGAUCUGAGUACAGUCAGUCUCUUCGAGCAUACCAGCCACCACCUCCCAUGACGGGUUAUAAUCAGGACCCAUGAGGCAUCAUGGUCAGGCAACAGGGGAGAACAACACCUGUGUUCAAUUGGCAGAUAAAGUGACUGCAUUCAAAGCCAAACUGGAAUUAUGGGUGCCCCGGGGUUUAAUUCCUCUGCGUCAUGAGGCUCGAACUCACUGUUAGCAGCUCGGUACUCUCAAACGAGUGCUUCACCCUAGACUUCAGGUAACUCUUACUAGUGUCCAUUCUCUCCUUUUCAGUUCAAGGAUUCGUGUUCUUGAUAGAAGAUACACAAAAUAGGUUUUGAAAAAUUCUGCGUUCACUUUUUCAUGCAUCAGCCUUAUUGUAAUGAUUCAGAGCUGCGACCGAGUCUUUGCCUUUUCUGACUCUGACUCUAACCCAAAAAGCCCUUUUGGUUAUCAAAUUAUAUGCAUUACAUAGAAAACUUCCUAAGAAAAGCAUCUUCAUAUCUAGUGGGAUUUGGGUAUUUUUUCAAACCUUGAAAAGAAAUUGGCCAUCACCUAAAAAGUCAAGUAAGUAACUUCAGUGAAAAAUAUAGAUCUAAGCAAAGGAAGUUAUAUAAAUUAGUGGGUUACCUCCUUUAAAGGUUUCCAGAUUUUUUUUUUGAUUGCCUUAUAAAGCUUUCUUUUUUUCAAUUGAAGUACAGUUGAUGUACAGCAUUAUGUUACAAGUGUACCAUAUAGUGAUUCACAAUGUUUAAAGGUUAUAAGUUAUAAAAUAUUGGCUAUAUUCCCCAUGUUGUACAAUAUAUCCUUGCAGCCUAUUUUAUAUGUAAUAGUUUGUACCUCCUAAUCUUCUACCACUACAUUGCCCCUCUUCCCUUCCCUCUCCCCACUGGUAACCAUUAGUUUAUUCUCUAUAUCAGUAAGUCUUCUUCUUUGUUAUAUUCACCAGUGUGUUGUAUUUUUUAGAUUCCGUAUAUAACUGAUAUCAUACAGUAUUUGUCUUUCUCUGUCUGACUUAUUUUACUUGGCAUAAUACCCUCCAAGUCUAUUCAUGUUGUUGCAAAUGGCAAGAUUUCUUUUCUUUUUCAUGGCUGAAUAGUAUUCCAUUGUGUGUAUGUGUGUAUAUAUACACAUACAUAUACGUGUGUGUAUGUAUGUGUGUGUGUGUGUGUGUGUGUAUAUAUAUAUAUAUAUCCUUUAUCCAUUCAUCUGUUGAUGGACACUUAGGUUGCUUCCAUGUCCUGCCUGUUGUAAAUAAUGCUGCUAUGAACAUUGAGGGUGCGUAUGUCUUUUUGAAUUAAGAGUUUUCAUCUUUUCCAGUUAUAUGCCCAGGAGUGGAAUUGCAGCAUCAUAUGGUAGCUCUAUUUUUAGUUUUUUAAGGACCAUCCAAACUGUCUUCCACAGUAGGGAAUUUACAUUCCUACCAACCACAUCCUUGCCAACAUUUGUUAUUUGUGUUCUUUUUGAUGAUGGCCAUUCUGACAGGUGUGAGGUGAUACAUCAUUGUGGUUUUGAUUUGCACUUCCCUCAUGAUUAGCAGUGUUGAAUAUCUUUUCCUGUGGCUGUUGGCCGUCUGCAUUUCCUCUUUGGAGAAAUGUCUAUUCAGGUCUUCUGCACAUUUUUUAAUCAGGUUUUUUUUUUAAUGUUGAGUUACAUGAACUGUUUAUAUAUUUUGGAUAUUAACCCCUUAUCAGCCAUAUCAUUUGCAAAUAUUUUCUCCCAUUCAGUAGGUUGUCUUUUCAUUUUGUUUAUGGUUUCCUUUGCUAUGCAAAAGCUUUUAAGUUUAAUUAGGUCCUGUUUGUUUAUUUUUGGUUUUAUUUCCUUUGCUUUAGGAGACAGAUCCAAAAAAAAUACAGAUUUCUUUAAUAAGUGGUGACAAUUUCACCCAAAAAAAUUUACCAAAUAUCUACCAAAAAAAUAAUAUGUUAAAUUGUGUUUAGCAAUUAUAAAGUGGUUGAUACUAUAUUAUAUGAUUUUCCUGUGUCAAAAUAAGCAUGGUAUUUUAAAGCGAGGUAUUUGAAAGGUAUUUACUUACUUUGAGUAUUUGGGACUCUUUGAGGCAAAGAUAUGACCACAAGCAUUUGACAUGAAAAAGAGAAGCUCAAAUGAUUCAAACGGUAAAGCUGGAGCAGAGCCAAAAUGAACAAGAAAAGAAGGAAGGCACCUCUGAGGCUGCUACAUGGAGGAAGGAAACACCAGAGGAAAAGAUUUGCUUCAUGAAGAAAUGGCCUCACACUGAUGAUAAUCUGGAAAUUAAGCCAUCAGCCAGAUUAAUAGAAGCCUGGAGGUUCUCUGACGAGCUUGUGGAAUAACAAAGCCAGUUUUUAUUGUGGAAGUUAUCACUACGGAGAUAGCGCUGGCAAGACCGCAGCUAACUGGGAGCAGUGAUUGAUUUCAGCAAGACUUGAACCAAGGAAACCAGGUCUAUUCUGCCCCGGACUGGAGCACAUCAUCUAAGGCAGUUCUGAGCACUGAAGGGAAAUCAUAUUGAAGAUUUCAACCUUGAAGUUAAUUGCGAAGUUUGCUGCAGACGGCGAAUGUUUCAAAGAGACGAAAAACCGCAGAAGCAGAAGGAGAGUAAGCCGGUGGACUCUGCACAAAAGGCAAGCAGUGCAGACACUGCUGCUCUAACUUCAAAGGGCAGCAGACACGAGGUCCCCUAAGACCCGCCUGCUCGUGGGUCAUGGUUCUGCCUGAUCCGCACUCGACAGACUCUUCCUCCUCUGAAAUCCUUAUAACGCCUGCUUUCUGGGGCUUCUGAUCACGGAACGCUAGUGCGGAAAAGCACUUCAGAGGGCAGGAUUCUGGACCAAACCUCUUACAGACCAACAGAGUCCCGGAGAGGUUAAACAACUUGCCCUCCUACGCACUUGAUCUCAAAGUCACUCAAGUGUUCUCCGGAGGUGGGGGAAGUCCAUGUCUUAGUUUUCUUUUUCUCUUUGCCAGAGCAAUGCAACGUAGGCAGCACUAAAUAAGUAUGUUGUGCUGAAUCUCGAAAGUAUUCAAAGUUCCAACUACACCAAAAUAAUCCACUGUGAAUGUUACAUCAACAUGGAUAUGUGCCUUAAGUACACAGUCUUAAGAUAUAUUUACCAUAUGUUACAGGUGGAUCCAAAGGCUAGAUAAUUAUAAAUCUUUCUAAGUAUCCCCAGGAUACUUUACAUUUAUCAAGUGCUUUGCAAUAUGUAAGUUACUCUUUCGAGUCUCACAGUUGUUCCCAGGAGGUAGCUGGAGAUCUCAUCCUCACGUUACAUGUGAGGAAACGAGGGAGACUUGGAAAACUUAAGACUUGCUUGUGUUGAGCCUUUAAGUAGCCAAUAUAGGAUUUGACCCACACAUGAGGCCCAGUUCAUAGCCCUCUCCUCUAGACCAUGGCGCCUCGAAUGCCUAAAGAUUUUCUUCAACAACAAAAGCCUUUGCUUCUUUGAUUCUUCUACAGUAUAAAAGAAAAUUAAAGAAACUAGCAUUUUUUUCCCUUAACAGAGGGCUUACAAACCCCUGCCCUAUUGUUUGACCUACCGGGGCUUAAUGCAUACCUGAAACUCUUUCUUGCUCCAAAAGCUUAGUGUAAAGAUUGAAUAUCUGUUCCUGGACUUUGCACACAGAUCGUUUAAUCUUUUCCCUGCGGGUCACCAUGUAAGUGAGGUUCCGAACCUAGAACGUAGAGAAUAAAGAUUCUAAGUAAGCAAUACAUUAUAACAGGACUUUGGUGUUUUUUUGUUUUUUUCCUCUUUACCUGAGAAAAAUUUGUCCUACUAGGUCCUUGAGUGACUUUUGAUAUCCAAAUGUACUUUAAACAUU